rnacentral:rRNA from 1 species
UUAUUGGAGAGUUUGAUCCUGGCUCAGGAUGAACGCUGGCGGCGUGCCUAAUACAUGCAAGUCGAGCGAAUGGAUUAAGAGCUUGCUCUUAUGAAGUUAGCGGCGGACGGGUGAGUAACACGUGGGUAACCUGCCCAUAAGACUGGGAUAACUCCGGGAAACCGGGGCUAAUACCGGAUAACAUUUUGAACUGCAUGGUUCGAAAUUGAAAGGCGGCUUCGGCUGUCACUUAUGGAUGGACCCGCGUCGCAUUAGCUAG